AACGAACGCUGGCGGCAGGCUUAACACAUGCAAGUCGAGCGCCCCGCAAGGGGAGCGGCAGACGGGUGAGUAACGCGUGGGAAUCUACCCAUCCCUACGGAAUAACACAGAGAAAUUUGUGCUAAUACCGUAUACGCCCUUUGGGGGAAAGAUUUAUCGGGGAUGGAUGAGCCCGCGUAGGAUUAGCUAGUUGGUGUGGUAAUGGCGCACCAAGGCGACGAUCCUUAGCUGGUCUGAGAGGAUGAUCAGCCACACUGGGACUGAGACACGGCCCAGACUCCUACGGGAGGCAGCAGUGGGGAAUAUUGGACAAUGGGCGCAAGCCUGAUCCAGCCAUGCCGCGUGAGUGAUGAAGGCCUUAGGGUUGUAAAGCUCUUUCACCCACGACGAUAAUGACGGUAGUGGGAGAAGAAGCCCGGCUAACUUCGUGCCAGCAGCCGCGGUAAU
rnacentral:rRNA from 1 species